UACGUAGGGUGCGAGCGUUGUCCGGAAUUAUUGGGCGUAAAGAGCUUGUAGGCGGCUUGUCGCGUCUGCUGUGAAAUUUCGGGGCUCAACCCCGAACUUGUAGUGGGUACGGGCAGACUAGAGUGUGGUAGGGGAGACUGGAAUUCCUGGUGAUAGCGGUGAAAUGCGCAGAUAUCAGGAGGAACACCGAGUGGCGAAGGCAGGUCUCUGGGCCACUACUGA
rnacentral:rRNA from 1 species